UACGGAGGAGGCAAGCGUUAUCCGGAAUUAUUGGGCGUAAAGCGUCCGUAGGUGGUUUAGAAAGUCUGCUGUCAAAGGCUGGGGCUUAACUCCAGACAGGCAGUGGAAACUACUAGACUAGAGUGCGGUAGGGGCAGAGGGAAUUCCCAGUGUAGCGGUGAAAUGCGUAGAUAUUGGGAAGAACACCGGUGGCGAAAGCGCUCUGCUGGACCUGUACUGACACUGAGGGACGAAAGCUAGGGGAGCGAAAGGG
rnacentral:rRNA from 1 species